rnacentral:tRNA from 1 species
GGAGGGGUGGCCGAGUGGUUGAAGGCGCCGGUUUUGAAAACCGGUGUGGCCGUCAGGUCACCGGGGGUUCGAAUCCCCCCCCCUCCGCCA